AGCAGCCGCGGUAAUUCCAGCUCCAAUAGCGUAUAUUAAAGUUGUUGCAGUUAAAAAGCUCGUAGUUGAAUUUCGGGAUCAAUAUGUCGGUCGUGCCUCGGUACGUACUGGCGUAAUUGGUUUCUCCCUUCUGAAGAACCUCGAUGUCAUUAAUUUGGUGUCGUGUGGAAUCAGGACUGUUACUUUGAAAAAAUUAGAGUGUUUAAAGCAGGCUCGCGCUUGAAUACAUUAGUAUGGAAUAAUGAAAUAGGACGUUUGAUUCUAUUUUGUUGGUUUCUAGGAUCGACGUAAUGAUUAAUAGGGAUAGUUGGGGGCAUUAGUAUUCAAUUGUCAGAGGUGAAAUUCUUGGAUUUAUUGAAGACUAACUACUGCGAAAGCAUUUGCCAAGGAUGUUUUCAUUAAUCAAGAACGAAAGUUAGGGGAUCGAAGACGAUCAGAUACCGUCGUAGUCUUAACCAUAAACUAUGCCGACUAGGGAUCGGAUGAUGUUAAUUUUUAAUGACUCAUUCGGCGCCUUACG
rnacentral:rRNA from 1 species